CGCUUGCAAGCGAGCAAGCGUGACAUUUGUUGUCGUUUGACUGAUCAUUUAGUUUGUAUUGUGCCAUUAUAUUCAUUUCAAUUAGUGCAACAGUUUAUUGAUCGAAAGGUCCACGAAAAGCGUGAAUCUUUAAGAUAAACGGGUGUGGUGCCAAGUAUGUGUGAUGAUUUUGUGUACCAUAUCACUGAAAGAGUAUCAGCAUCGUGGUUGUCCUUCCAGGAGGAAAAUGACAUCAAAUUAUAUUUUUUAAGUUAUGUUUACAUAGCAUUUUAAAAAUUCAUCAUGUAGGGUGCAAUAGUUUUGAUUAUUUUUUUUUGUUUAUUUAGAUUUUGCUUUGGAUUUUGCAUUUAGACUGAAUGAGACGAGCCAUCUGUUUGUCCUUUCAAGGAAAAAGAAAAGGCCAACAUCACCAACACAGUCAACAAAAUUCUUUGUUUGUUAUUCCGUUGGCUGCUACCUCUUCAAUCCCCACCCCUAUAUCCUGGAAUGGGCCUGCUCUUAUUUUGAGGUUAAUCCUGCGCCGUUAUUCAAUGGACUGAAUCCAUUGUACCUUACGAGAGAUCAGCGAUGACUGACUGACGUGCUGUCAUUCAGCAAUACUGCUCACUCGCACGCCAUCCUCUUUCGUCGCUCCGAGGAAUGAGGGAGUUGAGCCUGCUUCAACUCGGACACGGCCAGCAUCAUUCGACUACAACCGACUUGUACUACCCCUGCUCUCAAAACAGCACGGAAUUUUCAUCUUCACAUUGAUUGGCUGUUUGCGAUGCGUGAUGACGUUUCCUUGAGGACGACGAGGUGGUGAUUUUGGGGACAAGAAUAUUAAGUUCUAAACUACAAGUUUCUAAAUUUGCAUGACAGACUUUAUGAGAAGUCAUGUCCUUUGACGAAAACGGACAAUGAACAUAGUCAACAAGGUCCCUUGUUUGGUAACCCGUUGGCUGCUACCCUUUUAACUUCCUUAAACGGGCCUUCUUGAUUUAAGGGUAACUCCUUCGCUGCUUUAUAUCAUGGACUUCAUCCAUUGGUGAAAACUGACGAGAG